GGGCAUGGAUGAUAAAUGCAUAUGCAUGACAACCAGAACAGUGGACCUCACCUGAACCAGUGGUUGCAGUCCCUGCCUCUCUAGGUGUGCUACCACCUUGAGCUUCAGGGGUUGCUCCAGAUGAUGCUCCAGGGGUACCUGUGGUUCCAGAUGUGUUCUCACCAGCAGAGACAGUGGUGGUUGCAUCAGCUCCUCCUCCUGUUGCUAUUAGGAAGAAGAAUGGUGCUUAGUCUACACAGAGAGCUAGGAAGA
rnacentral:lncRNA from 1 species